GGGCGGUCGUGCACAGGAUUCAAGGGGACAACUUCGGCUGUGCCAACCUCUCUGUACUUCCUUCAUUCGAAAUUCAAACUCGAAAGUAGGGGGACUGGUGUUGGGUAUAAAAUACCCUCAGCCGAAGUUCUCAACGGGAUUGACCCUUGCAGGUCCCCUCCGACUUUCGACUACUGGUGGGCUUCGCCCGGAUUCCUAUGGGAGCCGGGCUCCGUCCUCGACUCCAACGGCUGC
rnacentral:lncRNA from 1 species